AUUCCAGCUCCAAUAGCGUAUAUUAAUGUUGUUGCAGUUAAAAAGCUCGUAGUUGAAUUUCUGGUUAAAAUCUUAGCUGGCUUUGGUCGUUAAUGUUUUAAUCAUCCGUUAGAGAACUAUAACCGUCCUUAACUGGUCAUUAUAGAGAUCUAACAUUUUACUUUGAAAAAAUUAGAGUGUUCAAGGCAGGCAAUCGUCAUGAAUACUAUAGCAUGGAAUAAUGGAAUAGGACUUUGGUUCAUUUUAUUGGUUAUUGAACCUGAGUAAUGAUUAACAGGGACAGUCAGGGGCACUCGUAUUCCGCCGAGAGAGGUGAAAUUCUCAGACCAGCGGAAGACGAACCACUGCGAAAGCAUUUGCCAGGGAUGUUUUCAUUA
rnacentral:rRNA from 1 species